rnacentral:rRNA from 1 species
GUGCUUGAGUAACCAAAAAUAUUAGGAAAGAAAUCGUUAAGGGCGUAUGGCGGAUGCCUAGGCUUUCAGAGGCGACGAAGGACGCGGUAAGCUGCGAAAAGCUACGGGGAUUGGCACACACGAAUAGAUCCGUAGAUAUCCGAAUGGGGCAACCCAAUACAUUGAAGAUGUAUUACUGCGCAAGCAGAGCAAACCCGGAGAACUGAAACAUCUAAGUACCCGGAGGAAAAGAAAUCGAAGAGAUUCCGUAAGUAGUGGC